rnacentral:rRNA from 1 species
UACGUAGGGUGCAAGCGUUGUCCGGAAUUAUUGGGCGUAAAGAGCUCGUAGGCGGUUUGUCGCGUCUGCUGUGAAAUCCCGAGGCUCAACCUCGGGCCUGCAGUGGGUACGGGCAGACUAGAGUGCGGUAGGGGAGAUUGGAAUUCCUGGUGUAGCGGUGGAAUGCGCAGAUAUCAGGAGGAACACCGAUGGCGAAGGCAGAUCUCUGGGCCGUAACUGACGCUGAGGAGCGAAAGCCAGGGGAGCAAACGGG